CUUUCCCCCAGCACCCCCCCCAACCCCAAGAAGUUUCCAAAGUGACCACAUGUGGGCCCAAAUCAAACCCUUGUCCUCAGGCCUCUGCUGGCACUUCUCCCAGAUCGCCCACCUUCCUCCUCCAGCUCCGCAGCCCGGCCACCCUCCUCACCCCUGCCCCCGCCAUUCCUCUUUGUGGACAACUUUCUAAAUGCAGCCAAACUUCCCCUUUCAGUCCACAGCCCCCAGAAAACAGCUGCAAAAAGUCAGCGGCUCGGCAAGUUCUCUUGCAAAGUUUGGCCGAGAGUAACAGCCACUCGUUCUAGCCAUUGCCACCCUCUCCCAGGCUCAGAAGGCCAGUCUCCCCCUCCAGGAAACAGUGAGAAGCCCCGCUCCAGUACUGCUCCCGGGGUCACAGUCUCCCCAGCAAUCUAAUCUAGAGAGAACUCCUGAAAGGGGCCCGGCUGAGGGUAGCUGGGGGAAGUUGACCGCCCGAAACCUGACGGGUUUCCUGACCUUGCCCAAGCCCUCUGUGACCCUGGGCACCUCACUUACUCCCCCCACCACUGCCCCCCCACACCCAGGCACAGGCCUCUCCUUUGGAGAACAAGGGAUGGAUACAUUGGUUGAUUUUCCAGGCCCCUUCCAAGUCUGAAAUUCCACACAUGGGUCGUUUCUCCCUAGGGUGCCCAGGGAUGGGAGAGAAGCUGUGCCCAGGGACACCCGUCUCACUGAGGGUGGUCUGACCAGGCCUCCGAAAAUGCAUUCUUCGUCCUCUCGGUGACAGUCGGCCCCCUGUAAAAGAGAGGCUCUCACGCCCGAGUCUGAUCAGAAUCACCUGGGAAAACCACACCAUCUCCGACCCCAGCUACACUCCGGACCAAAGAAACCAGAAUCUCAGCUCAGGGCCUGGUCCUCAGUCUGUUUGGAAGGUUACUCAGGUGAUUCUGAAUGAGCAGAAAGAGUUCAGAACCAUUGUGGAAAAGGCAUCUAGAAACGAAAGAGGAAGCUGUAAGCCAGAGAUGCCACAUCUGGGUGCCACCUUCUCUGCUGAGAAGCUCUUGAGGCCAGUGGGAUGGACUCCAGUUCACACGCUUGUAACCACCACCCCUUCAUGGCUGCCACAAGAACGAGUGAAAACCUGUGGGAAAAGUGCAAAGGCAGUUAAUUUGUGGCGUGAGAGCACAGGAAACUCAGCUCUCAGAACGGGCUUCAGGAGAAGGCCGGAAGCCUGCAGCAACGUUUUGAAUUGA
rnacentral:lncRNA from 1 species